UACGGAGGGUGCGAGCGUUGUCCGGAAUCACUGGGCGUAAAGGGCGCGUAGGCGGCGCGGGAAGUCCGUGGUGAAAGCCCGAGGCUCAACUUCGGGUCGGCCAUGGAUACUCCUGGGCUUGAGCACUGUAGAGGCAGGUGGAAUUCCGGGUGUAGCGGUGGAAUGCGUAGAGAUCCGGAAGAACACCGGUGGCGAAGGCGGGUCUCUGGGCCGUAACUGACGCUGAGGAGCGAAAGCGUGGGGAGCAAACAGG
rnacentral:rRNA from 1 species